GCCUCCGUAGCUCAAUGGAUAGAGCAUCGGCCUUCUAAUCCGGUGGUUGCUGGUUCGAGUCCAGCCGGGGGCACCG
rnacentral:tRNA from 1 species